rnacentral:rRNA from 1 species
UACGGAGGGGACUAGCGUUGUUCGGAAUUACUGGGCGUAAAGCGCACGUAGGCGGAUUUGUAAGUCAGGGGUGAAAUCCCGGGGCUCAACCUCGGAACUGCCUUUGAUACUGCAAAUCUCGAGUCCGGAAGAGGUGAGUGGAAUUCCUAGUGUAGAGGUGAAAUUCGUAGAUAUUAGGAAGAACACCAGUGGCGAAGGCGGCUCACUGGUCCGGGUACUGACGCUGAGGUGCGAAAGCGUGGGGAGCAAACAGGGAGUUA